GUCCAUCACAACAAUGAUCCCCGCACACCCGCAGCAAGGCAACUCCCUUGUCACGGAGUGCGUGCUGCUCCUGCCUGUCCUGGGAGGCUCCCAGCCGUGGCAUCCUGCAGUGACUUGCACACGUCUCCUGGUCCACAUGAAUGCCGGACUUCCAGGCAGCCACACCACACUGCGUCUGGAGCCCAGAGCCGACAGCAGGUGGAGACUGGCACAGGAGAGGGUGUGGACAGCGGCCGGUACUGAGCCACAGCGCUGGCGGAGGGGCCUCCAGGAGGAGCUCUCCAGGCUCUGGGGUCUUCUGAGGGGACCACGGACUCCCUGA
rnacentral:lncRNA from 1 species